rnacentral:lncRNA from 1 species
CACUCUGGCUUUGACCUCACUGAGUGGCUCCUCAGCAGGGUUGGGCAUAGCUGGGCCCAUCAUUUUCCUGGAGGCUGUUUUUUUGUUUCCAGGGCAUCUGUUCCUGGUCUCUUACUGCCUUCACUCGCCACACAUGUUCAGUUUUCUAUCCCUGAGAUUCCUCCUCUUUAUCUUUUCCUCACUUUUGUCUUUAAAUGCCUUACUUACAAAUAAUAUCUCCAGUUCAUUUCAAAGUAGUCACAGAUGGGAAAUACCAAUAACCAUGCAUUUU